GAGACCUCCAACUUUGAGAAGUUGCAACAUUUGCCCAAAAACACACAGCUAUGGCAGGUGACUGAGCUGAGCGGUUCCACCCCCGCAGUGCAUGCUUCUCUCUCUUCACCCCUGAGCUGCGAUUCCUUGGGAGGAAACCAUACUUUCUGCAGAAAGAGAGGCUGGGGUCAACAGAGUCUUCACAUAGCAUGAGUGGCACUGGCAGGCUGGAGUCCAGAGUAAUAUGAAGUUUGAAUACAGAUAUUGAUGGCAGAAAUUGGCAACAAACCCUAGAAUCAAAUGAACAGUAUGGGAGGUCUCUGUUACCCUGAUUUCUGAGGGCAAGGGCUAUCAUCUGCUUUGUGGUCUUAAACGUUUUAGGUGAUUAUUUUAGAGGAUCUAGAUCAGUGUAAUAACAGUGACACGGAGUUUUACCCUGUAAUUACUAAAGUCACUAAAUUUCAAAACAUUUUAGAAAAGAUCUAAAAUGAAUUGACACUGCACACAAACUUACUUAUGGGUCUGUCAAAAGUUUUCAAUAAACUACCUUUUCUGAACCCAGUUUAUUUUGAAACAUGAUAAGCCCAGAUUUAUUUUUAUCUAACCUGACACAUUCACUUUUGAACUGAUCUCCCCACAGCUGUACCAUCCACUUGAAGAAAUGAUAAUGCUGUGGAUGUCAUUGUUCCCAGCUAAGUCUUAGUAUGUAGCUCUGGAGGAUGCUUCAAAUCAGGGCAUCGAUGCUUCAUGGUUGGCUCUCUCUCCCAGGUCCUCAUUCCAACCCCCGCAAAAGCCCAAUGACUAAUGAG
rnacentral:lncRNA from 1 species